GAGCACGUAGGUGGGUUUGUAAGUCAGAUGUGAAAGCCUUCUGUUCCACGGAAGAAUUGCAUCUGAAACUGCGAGUCUUGAGUGUAGGAGGGGAGAAUGGAACUUCUGGUGGAGCGGUGAAAUGCGUAGAUAUCAGAAGGAACGCCGGCGGCGAAAGCGAUUCUCUGGCCUAUUACUGACACUCAGUGUGCGAAAGCUAGGGGAGCAAACGGGAUUAGAUACCCCGGUAGUCCUAGCCGUAAACGAUGGGCACUAAGUAGAGGGG
rnacentral:rRNA from 2 species